rnacentral:rRNA from 1 species
AAUACUUAGGAAUCUGCCUAUUAGUGGGGGACAACAUUUCGAAAGGAAUGCUAAUACCGCAUACGUCCUACGGGAGAAAGCAGGGGACCUUCGGGCCUUGCGCUAUCAGAUGAGCCUAGGUCGGAUUAGCUAGUUGGUGAGGUAAUGGCUCACCAAGGCGACGAUCCGUAACUGGUCUGAGAGGAUGAUCAGUCACACUGGAACUGAGACACGGUCCAGACUCCUACGGGAGGCAGCAGUGGGGAAUAUUGGACAAUGGGCGAAAGCCUGAUCCAGCCAUGCCGCGUGUGUGAAGAAGGUCUUCGGAUUGUAAAGCACUUUAAGUUGGGAGGAAGGGUACUUACCUAAUACGUGAGUAUUUUGACGUUACCGACAGAAUAAGCACCGGCUAACUCUGUGCCAGCAGCCGCGGUAAUACAGAGGGUGCAAGCGUUAAUCGGAAUUACUGGGCGUAAAGCGCGCGUAGGUGGUUCGUUAAGUUGGAUGUGAAAUCCCCGGGCUCAACCUGGGAACUGCAUCCAAAACUGGCGAGCUAGAGUAGGGCAGAGGGUGGUGGAAUUUCCUGUGUAGCGGUGAAAUGCGUAGAUAUAGGAAGG